rnacentral:rRNA from 1 species
CGUGUAGGCGGUUGUCCAAGUUGGAUGUGAAAGCCUUGAGCUUAACUCAAGAAAUGCAUUCAGGACUGGAUGACUAGAGGACCGGAGAGGAUAGUGGAAUUCCCAGUGUAGUGGUGAAAUACGUAGAGAUUGGGAAGAACGCCAGUGGCGAAGGCGGCUAUCUGGACGGUUUCUGACGCUAAGACGCGAAAGCGUGGGAGCAAACA